rnacentral:rRNA from 1 species
CCUACGGGUGGCAGCAGUGAGGAAUAUUGGUCAAUGGACGAGAGUCUGAACCAGCCAAGUAGCGUGAAGGAUGACUGUCCUAUGGGUUGUAAACUUCUUUUAUAUGGGAAUAAAAUGUUCCACGUGUGGGAUUUUGUAUGUACCAUAUGAAUAAGGAUCGGCUAACUCCGUGCCAGCAGCCGCGGUAAUACGGAGGAUCCGAGCGUUAUCCGGAUUUAUUGGGUUUAAAGGGAGCGUAGGUGGAUUGUUAAGUCAGUUGUGAAAGUUUGCGGCUCAACCGUAAAAUUGCAGUUGAAACUGGCAGUCUUGAGUACAGUAGAGGUGGGCGGAAUUCGUGGUGUAGCGGUGAAAUGCUUAGAUAGCACGAAGAACUCCGAUUGCGAAGGCAGUUCACUGGACUGCAACUGACACUGAGGCUCGAAAGUGUGGGUAUCAAACAGGAUUAGAUACCCCAGUAGUC